UUACUAGGAUUAUAGUUUAUAAAAAUAUUUGAUUUGCAUUCAAAAGAUAUUGAUAUUCAAUUUAUCUUA
rnacentral:tRNA from 1 species